AGCAGCCGCGGUAAUUCCAGCUCCAAUAGCGUAUAUUAAAGUUGUUGCAGUUAAAAAGCUCGUAGUUGAAUUUCGGGAUUCAUCCGUUGGUCGGGCUUCACGGUCCGUACUGGUGUGAUGGGUUCCUACCUUCUGAAUAACCGGCAUGCCAUUAAUUUGGUGCGCCGGGGAAGCAGAACUAUUACCUUGAAAAAAUUAGAGUGCUUAAAGCAGGCAAGUGCCUGAAUAGGUUAGCAUGGAAUAAUAAAAUAGGACGGCAUGGUUCUAUUUUGUUGGUUUCUAGGAUCACCGUAAUGAUUAAUAGGGAUAGUUGGGGGCAUUAGUAUUCAAUUGUCAGAGGUGAAAUUCUUGGAUUUAUUGAAGACUAACUUCUGCGAAAGCAUUUGCCAAGGAUGUUUCCAUUAAUCAAGAACGAAAGUUAGGGGAUCGAAGACGAUCAGAUACCGUCGUAGUCUUAACCAUAAACUAUG
rnacentral:rRNA from 1 species